rnacentral:lncRNA from 1 species
CACGAACUGACUUCUCUGGAAGGCGGCUCACCAGACCACCCACAAUAGACUCUUCUUCUGGCCUACUGAUUGCUUGGCACCCAAUCUACCUUCAGCCAUUUGGUAAGUUCCCCCUUAGGUUGAUAAACACUUCCCUGAAUCCAAAAAAGUCCCACUGACACCCACCUUUCCACCUGACUCACCUGGAGCAUCCUCAGAUCCUAAGCCUGGGCACUGAGACUCAGCCAGU